rnacentral:miRNA from 1 species
ACCUCCUGUGUGCAUGGAUUAC